GCCUCCGAUCAGAAUAAAUACCUCGCUUAAAUAUAUAUAUAUAUAUAUAUGAUGUAUGAUUUAUAAAGCUUAACGAUUUUGUAACUCUUCCUCUUGUUUCUUCCCUAAUCUCUCACCCUAACAAUCUCUAGUCCUUUUUGGCAGCACAGUCUCUAGUCUAUAUUUUGAUGAUAAUUGACGAUCGGAUGAUAUCAACGUUCCCUUCUUCCUCUAUUCACGCACAAACAGAAGAAAAAAGUCUAGGGCACUGUAUGGCAAAUGAUCGGAUGCUGUCAGACAGCUUGUACAGAUCACAGUACGAGGUGACGAUGCAACUUCUGACUUUUCUCAAGGAAUUGCUACGUGUCUACCUACUCCAACAGCUUCUCUCUGACUGCUUCUUUGUCUUUCUCUGACUGACUGCUCCUACGACUUGUGUCCGCAAACCUCGACGUUUUCUGUCUGACUGCCUCCUUCGACUCCCUUGGUCCGACUUUUAACUACCCUCUCCCUCGGGUAUAUCCCUUUUUUGCCCUUGUAGGUUUUUUCCCCCACCAGCAUUCCAAGGGUCCUGCUUUCCCACCACCUGCACGCCACCUGCACGACAUCUGAUUCCUUUAGUGGCAUCGUAACUUUCCCC
rnacentral:lncRNA from 1 species